rnacentral:ncRNA from 1 species
GCGCUUUCUUAAUUGAAGCCGCUGCAAAUGAGAGUCUCUAGUGGGCCAUUUUUUGGUAAGCAGAACUGGCGAUGCGGGAUGAACCGAACGCGAGGUUAAGGUGCCGGAAUAUACGCUCAUCAGACACCACAGAAGGUGUUAGUUCAUCUAGACAGCAGGACGGUGGCCAUGGAAGUCGGAAUCCGCUAAGGAGUGUGUAACAACUCACCUGCCGAAUGAACUAGCCCUGAAAAUGGAUGGCGCUCAAGCGUGUUACCCAUACCUCGCCGUCAACUCUUGUGCGAUGCGUUGACGAGUAGGCAGGCG